rnacentral:lncRNA from 1 species
CUGGGCUCCUGGAGCGAGGUGAGCGCCCCAGGCCGCGGUCCUGCGUACGCCGGGACAGCCAUGGCGACUGGGUCCUGCUCCUUCCCGGCCGGACUGACGCGGCCUCCCAGGACCCGAGCACGUCACUGACAGAAGACCGAAAAGCUCGUAGUAAAGGCCCCUCUAAAUUUAGAGAUAAAACUCAUCAGUGCUUUGAAACAAGCAGCUCUGAACCAAAGAAAUCAUUUGAUUCAAACUUUUCCAAACAAGAUGGCAACACCACUAGGCAAGAGAUGUCCCCAGCUGGUGUCCCAUUGCUGGUAAUGCAGCUCAACGAAGUGAAACCCAAAAAAGACCCCCAAAACAUUCAGCAGAACGAAGAUGCCACCCAAUACGAAGAGUCCAUUCUGACCAAACUCAUAGUGGAAAGGUGAUUUUAAUGGGGGUGCCAUCGGGUAUAACACUGCCAGUCAGGCGGUUUAUCUUAUUUUAUUUUGAGACAGCGUCUCACUCUG